rnacentral:rRNA from 1 species
GAUGAGCGUGCGUCCCAUUAGCUAGUUGGUAGGGUAACGGCCUACCAAGGCGACGAUGGGUAGCUGGUGUGAGAGCACGACCAGCCACACGGGCACUGAGACACGGGCCCGACUCCUACGGGAGGCAGCAGUGAGGAAUAUUGGUCAAUGGACGCAAGUCUGAACCAGCCAUGCCGCGUGAAGGAUGAAGGCGUUCUGCGUUGUAAACUUCUCUUAU